CACUACCUGCCAGUGUGUACCAGGAACAGACUGUGGACAUUGGCUGAGCACACCUGGUGCCAAUCAGUUGAUUACACAGGACUGAAUCUGGGGCAAUGACAGCAAACAAAACAGACAAUCAACGGCAGACAGAGAGGCAGCGCGGCGAGCCGCAGGGCGCGCGGCGGUGCGAGUCGCAAUGGCGAGCCGCGGACAGACAGGCAGUGCGGCGGCAGAAGCAGCGGUGAACGGCAGCACGAUAGACAACAGGGCAGAAGCGACGGUGAAUGGCGCCACCAGGAGCUGGGUCUUUAAAAUAGCUGCCGUCUUGUAGCAGUUCCUCCUUAAGGUCAGAGAUUGCAGCAUCUGAGCUCCUCUUCAAAAGAAGACGUAGUUGAUGAAGGCGUUCUGGACCAGAAAGACCACGACCAAGCAGCCUUGAGAUCUUAGGCAGCAUCUCCCUCAGGUGGGUGUCAACGGUGCUCACAUUCAGGUCUGUGGUAAUCCUGUCAAAAAACAAAACAGAAAAAAAAUCUAGAUUAUAAAUCACAUGUAACCAAAGUACUCUGUGUAUAAUGCCAUAGUAUAGGACGUAGUUUAGAAAAUGUCAAAUUAUAGUAUACUUUUCGAGAAUAACAUAGUAUGGCCUGUACAGUAGUUCCUAGUAUAGCAUGUCGGCAGAAAAACCCCAUAGAUUAUAUGGUUCAAAAAGUGCAAAAUGAUAGGAUGUUGCCUAAAAUUGUCAUCUAUGAUAUGUGGUUCAAAAAUGUCAUAGUGCAGUAUAUUGUCAAAAUAGUAUGUUAUUCAAGAAAACAGAGUAUAAUAUGUGGUCUAAAAAAUGCCAUAGAAUAAUAGUUCAUCGUAAAAGUAUAGUAAUUUUUAGAACUGUUCAAAUUCUUAUGUUGCUAAAACACAACAGAAAAACUAAAACAAAACGUUGUAUUAUGUCAACUCAAAAAAGCCUAUAGCAGGGGUCGGCAAGUAGAUGUGGCUUCGGGCCAAAAUGUUUGUAAACAAUCGAACAGCGGGCCAACCUGCGGUGGGGUUGCGCUCCGAUUCCACGAGCGGGGUUGGGGGGGUACCGCGAGCAGCGGAGCUUCUACAGCUGAUCGCCACUGCUUGGGACACGUCUCAAUUCUGAUCACAGAUGUAUUAAAAAUGACUCCCGAGACACAUGUUUUGCACACACUGUUGCCCAGUGAAAUCUGGCUGGUACAGCCGUGUCCGAUCAGUAGCGCAAAGGCGGAAAUGCCCGGCAGCAGCCAACCAUGCGAGUUGCGUGUUGCGGUGACGGACUGGCUUGGCUCAAAAUCAUCUGGCGGGCCAGAUGUUAUUCCUGACGUACCAGUUUUGGCCCGCGGGCCGCCAGUUGCCGACCACUGGCCUAUAGUAUAGCAUUUCAUUCUAAAAACAUCAUAGUUUAGCCUUUGGUCCACAAAAUGUUAUGUCCUGGCUGUCUGAAGUAGGUGAGGAGCAACACAAACAGUCCAAACACUGGUUUCCAGAGGGUUAGACAGUCAAAUACUGAAAUAACAAGAAAAACUCAGUCUAUUGAUUUAGGCAUAAGCUAUAUUUUAUCAGGAUUGUCAAGCUUAGGUAUCUUAAAAUAACAAAUUUUCACUCAAAAAUAGAUUUCUGCUGUCAUGUAACCACCUAAUUUGAGAUGUUUCAACCCUGCUGUUGUCCGCAUUUAUGGGCACCAAAAAUAUUGUUUCCAUAUCUGAAAAAAAUCCAAAAAUCAGCAAAAAAAUUCCCCAAAUUUCGGAAAAUUUGCAAAACCUUCAGGAAGAAAAUUCCAAUAGCACUUUCGCCUUGCAGCAAAAAGAUCCCUGGUUCAAAUCCCGGCCUGGGAUCUUUCUGCAUGGAGUUUGCAUGUUCUCCCUGUGCAUGCGUGGGUUUUCUCCGGGCACUCCGGCUUCCUCCCUCAGUCCAAAAAUAUGCUGAGGUUCACUGAUAAUUCUAAAUUGCCCGUAGGUGUGAAUGUGAGUGUGAUUGUUUCUGUAUAUGUAGCCCUGCGACAGACUGGUGACCUGUCCAGGGUGUCCCCUGCCUUCGUCCGAGUCAGCUGGUAUGUGUGUGUAUGUAUGUGUGUGUAUGUAUAUGUGUGUAUAUAUAUAUAUAUAUAUAUAUAUAUAUAUAUAUAUAUAUGUGUGUGUGUGUGUAUGUCAUUGAUUCUUCAGAGUUGGGACAAAGUACAGUCAACAGCUCCUCAGGAUCCUCUGUCUAUAUGCAUGAAUGGCUAGCUUGGUGUUACUGCAUGCUUGGCUAAUCUUGGCCCCGUUCUGCUGCGCGGGCCUUGGGGCUCUGGCUGUGUUGGGGGGGUCGCUCCGGGCUCCUGGCUCCUGGGCUGGGUCUCCGCUUGGUGGCUCCUGCGGGGGGCUGGGUGGACCUCCUUGGGCUGGAGGAGACGGCUCCCUCCUUUUGGUGGAGGUUUUCAUGCAUGCCAGACCCACCACACCGGCACCUACCAAAACUCAAUAGAGUUUGUUCCUCUGGUCGCUGAGUCAGUGGAGGUUGCUGGGUUAGUGCCUGUGGAUCUCGCUCUGCUUUAUCUAUCCUUCUUGUGGCCUCCUGACAUCUUCAUGAUUGAUCCAGUUGGGAUUUUGUCGUAUUAGGUGUUUGUGAAGGGUUUUAGAUUUGUAACUGGUUUUAAGGUGUGAAUUAAAGAGCACAAACAAAUAAAUUGCACCUUUUUUCUUAGAACACUGUCUAUGCCUCAACUUUCUCUCUGUCCUGUGUUUGUUUUAUGUUUCACUUGGGUGUGCACAGCCCUCAAUGGCAUAAUGCAGGAAACAGCUUGAAAUAAACAUGAUAGGUUAAUUUGCCAUGAGGGCAGGUGAUGGUCACAGUCACAAAGAAGAGAAAAAUUGCACAUGAAGCUUAAGCAAUGGCACCAUGGGUGGUUGGUGUCAUUUUUGAGUGGACUUGUAGACCAGGCUGGACUACUGUAAUGCACUCCUCAUUGGGAUUCCUGUCAGGAGCCUCCAGAGACUGCAGUACAUCCAGAACUGUGCUGCCAGGAUCCUGAUGAGGGUGUGCAAAUUCCAUCACAUCACACCAAUCCUCCAUAAUCUCCAUUGGCUUCCAGUAAGGUUCAGGAUUGAAUUUAAGAUUUGUCUCCUGACCUAUCACUGUGUCCAUGGCAGCGUGCCAGUGUACCUUAAAGAACUAAUCAGUCAACACAACCCGACCAGGCACCUCCGCUCCUCCGACAGCCACCAACUCCAGGUUCCAAGGUCCAAACUCCACUCCAUGGGAGAUAGGGCCUUUCAGGUGGCUGCACUGCGACUGUGGAAUGCCCUCCCCAACCACCUGAGGGUGCCACAGUUGCUUGAAGUUUUUAAAAAAACAGCUGAAGACUUUUAUGUUUUUAAAAGUGUUUUCUUAAUGUGCUGUAUUUUUAUUGUUGAUGGUUUUUAUCUGUAGCACUUUGAGAUUUGGUUUUCAAAUGUAAAGUGCAUUAUAAAUUAAACUUAUUAUUAUUAUUAUUAUUAUUAUAAUAAAGGCAGAAAAAGUUUUAGGAUUUUUAAAAGGUCCCAUGAACUUCACAGAACUUCUCUUUCCUCAGUGUGUUGGGGUUAGUUUCCAGGUGAGUAUCCACAUGUAAAAUUGAAAAUAAUCUGAACAUUCUUACUUCUAACGUAAAAAGAACUUAGUGAGAACAGUUCAGGGAGCAUUUUACCUCCUUUGUUCAAAACUCAGAUCUCCUUGAGUUGUUCUUCUAUUGAAGCAGUGUUCAGAUGAGGAUUCAGUCGACUCUUUGGAGGCUUGUUCGGCUGAAUCGUCCUGCAGCUGUUGCUCACCUGGUUGAAAAUAUGCUGCAUGGGUGCUUUCCUGUACAGAUGUCUUUAUCAGUUAAACUUUGAGAAAGUGACAGCAGCAUUAAAAUGGAUGCCAGCCAGAGGUGGUUGAUUUGGGAGAUCCAUGUUGGCAGUGCUCUGCUGUAGACACUAACUUUAAAAAAAAACUUGACUAACCCCAACACCCAAUGUGGUACUACAUGUGGUUAUUAUAGUAAAAAGACAGGCACCGGUAUAUGCAUUAACAUACUUCUAAUAAAUCCUUGAGGGCAGAAGUUUGUAGAGUGCACAGAAGCAGUCUGCGAUUCAUCAGAUCAGGUGAAGGGUGAGCUAGUUAAAGGGUUAGUGAAGUUUUUUAAAGUGCAUUUCAGUGAGGUACUGAUCCGUUAAUGGGGGCAGGACCAGCAGAGAAGCUAUACAACAAUCUGCUGUUGACAAAUUCAGCAACAAAAUGUGUUUUAGCCACCCACAAACAUCAUUAUCAGUCUCAAUAGACACACAUUUUUAGAAUAUUUUGACCUUUAUGACAGAGAACUGAAGCUGUUGUGUUGCUCUCUUCAAAGGCUCUUGCCGUCUUGAUCAGUUGCUUUGUUUGUAUGACUCUGGUGUUUCAACACUUCAGUUCAGAUCUGAAUUAAGAGUCUUUCUUCAUUUGCAGCAAUUUUAUUGUGACUGCAGCAGAAAACUCCAGAAAACAACAGUUACAGCUGACUGACUACAGUGUGUUUACAGUCGCAUGUUUCCAUGGUGACGUGGCAAUGUGUUCAUGUGUCUCCUGGUUUCGGCUCUGAUGUCACCACCCAGGUAAACCAAGCUGGUCGAACAGAAGACGUGUUACGGUGAAUGAGAGAUACA